rnacentral:rRNA from 1 species
AUUGAACGCUGGCGGCAUGCCUUACACAUGCAAGUCGAACGGCAGCACGGGUGCUUGCACCUGGUGGCGAGUGGCGAACGGGUGAGUAAUACAUCGGAACAUGUCCUGUAGUGGGGGAUAGCCCGGCGAAAGCCGGAUUAAUACCGCAUACGAUCUACGGAUGAAAGCGGGGGACCUUCGGGCCUCGCGCUAUAGGGUUGGCCGAUGGCUGAUUAGCUAGUUGGUGGGGUAAAGGCCUACCAAGGCGACGACCAGUAGCUGGUCUGAGAGGACGACCAGCCACACUGGGACUUGGACACGGCCCAGACUCCUACGGGAGGCAGCAGUGGGGAAUUUUGGACAAUGGGCGAAAGCCUGAUCCAGCAAUGCCGCGUGUGUGAAGAAGGCCUUCGGGUUGUAAAGCACUUUUGUCCGGAAAGAAAUACUUGGCCCUAAUACGGUCGGGGGAUGACGGUACCGGAAGAAUAAGCACCGGCUAACUACGUG